UUGGGUGCCUGAGAGGUUGGGAGAGCACCCUGCUAAAGCAUCCUAUCUGGUAGGGAGGGGAGCUCUUGACAGACGGGUUGUUAGGGAGGGUGGUGAAAGCCACGCACAUCAAGGGGCUGGCUUGAUUGCCCUCUGGCCCCACAUCUAAGCUUCUGGGCUGUGACUGCCCCCAACCAAGUCCUCAGAGCCCAGCUUGGGACCCACCACCCGCCAUACUCCACGCUCCCAAGCCCUUACUCUGCUGUUCCAAGGGCCGACCUGCUGCCACAAAGUUCUCUUUCUAGACAGCCCGGUGUGAAUUCUCACUUCCUCCUGGGACUUCCUCCAGCAGGACUGUGGCUGUGGUGAGCAUUUCAGCAUCUGCUCAUCUGCUGUUCUGUCAUCUUUCUCUUCCUUGGUGUCUUCGAGGGCAGGCCAGGUGGAAUACGGCUUCCCAAAGACUCGAUUCAUUUUGGUUAGGUCUCUUGUAUUGCAUGGUCCCCGGCCCAUAGGCAUUGUUGAAAACAAAGUCGAGUUUGUUGUUUCCAGCUAAAGCAGCCCCUGCUUUAGUGUGGAGAUACUUGAGGAGUUAAAAGGAAACAGGAAAUACUACUGCUUUAUGGUUGGAAACCACUCAGAUGGAGGAGAAUUUGGGGAGGCUUCGGUUCCUGCAGCUGAGGCAGCCUUGGAGAAAACUGCACGUGAACUUUUGCCCUUUGAACAGGGCCGUUGUCCCGGCUUGAGGGUUCCAGAUGUGGUGGCAUCAGAUGGGUCUUUGAGGGGUGGGGCAGUCAGGGUGCCUCUAACAGUGUACUGGGUGUUGGCAAGACCUCGGGGGUGGAAAGUUAUGGAAGGAAUUGUUCAGACAGGGCCCAGUGAUGGGGUGUGGGCUAGAGUACCGUCUUUGAAGCCGCUUGGCAAGAGAAGUGGGGAUCACGUCUAGUGGAGAUGGCAGAUGAUGUACUGUGUAGCCAGCACUGGUGAGAGACUGUGCCCAUCCCGGGCCUGCCUUGUGACUUCGGGUGAUUUCCCGUCCCCUGUGAGCUGUAG
rnacentral:lncRNA from 1 species